UACGAAGGGGGCUAGCGUUGUUCGGAUUUACUGGGCGUAAAGCGCACGUAGGCGGAUUGGUAAGUUAGGGGUGAAAUCCUGGAGCUCAACUCCAGAACUGCCUUUAAUACUGCCAGUCUAGAGUCCGGAAGAGGUGAGUGGAACUCCUAGUGUAGAGGUGGAAUUCGUAGAUAUUAGGAAGAACACCAGUGGCGAAGGCGGCUCACUGGUCCGGUACUGACGCUGAGGUGCGAAAGCGUGGGGAGCAGACAGG
rnacentral:rRNA from 1 species